CCUACGGGUGGCAGCAGUGAGGAAUAUUGGUCAAUGGACGAGAGUCUGAACCAGCCAAGUAGCGUGAAGGAUGACUGCCCUAUGGGUUGUAAACUUCUUUUAUAUGGGAAUAAAAUGUUCCACGUGUGGGAUUUUGUAUGUACCAUAUGAAUAAGGAUCGGCUAACUCCGUGCCAGCAGCCGCGGUAAUACGGAGGAUCCGAGCGUUAUCCGGAUUUAUUGGGUUUAAAGGGAGCGUAGGUGGAUUGUUAAGUCAGUUGUGAAAGUUUGCGGCUCAACCGUAAAAUUGCAGUUGAAACUGGCAGUCUUGAGUACAGUAGAGGUGGGCGGAAUUCGUGGUGUAGCGGUGAAAUGCUUAGAUAUCACGAAGAACCCCGAUUGCGAAGGCAGUUCACUGGACUGCAACUGACACUGAGGCUCGAAAGUGUGGGUAUCAAACAGGAUUAGAUACCCGUGUAGUC
rnacentral:rRNA from 1 species